rnacentral:lncRNA from 9 species
CGGGUGGGGGGACAGGCAGGGGGGGCAGGAAGCCAGAGGGACACCGCCCAGCGGGGCCUGGGCAGAGGGCGGCGUGACUGCCCACCUUUUAGGGGCUCUCUGGCAAGGGUGGGGCAGGAGCGCUCCCCAGGGACAGCAAGAAUCCAGGACAGAAAACCCAGCCAGGACAGAAAAGGUGGAAGCGUCAGAUCUGAAGGCAAAGCCGUUUUAAGACACGCUGAUAGAUUCGUCACGGGGGUGAGAAAAGAAAGGAAGUCUCAGGACUGCAAGCCUGUGGUCUGUGCCACAGGGAGGGUUUCUGCCGGGAAGAGAGGCUGGGAGAAGCCAUGAGCCAGCCUGGCCGGGGAGGGGCGGGGGCUGGAGGUCCGCAAGGCUUAGGCCCUGGGCGUCCAGGCGGGGCUGGAGGGCCGGAUGGGCUGGGAAGGGCUGAGAGACGUGGGACAGGUGGGCAGGGUAGAGGCCGAGGCGUGGCGGGUGCGUGGGUUGCGAGCUGGGAAACGAAGAGACGUGUGGCAGGUGCAGACCGAGCUGACGCUGGGCUGGGAGGAGCAGAGAAGCCCCGAGCCGCCUGCGGGUGAGGAAACAGAAGCCUGGAAUGGGCAGUGCCUGUGCGGAGGCCACACAGCACGAGGCAGGCUUCCAGCACACACCUGCGAGGGCUGGUACCCACCACCAUGCCCGGCCCUGGUGGUGGUCCUGGGAUGUUCAGCCUUUGACCCCACACGCCUCACCGUUCCUCUGUGUCGCUGGGUUGUGCAAGACCAUGUCAGCUUUGACAGCGAAAUCCACUGCGAGAUGGACCACCCAGAGCCUCUGACAUUUGGUGUUGGAACAGACAGGGAACACGUGCGCAGCUCUCCGUGUUUGUCCCCGUGGACAUCUGCUGUCUUAGCCGCCCACGGCUCUCCCUCCUGGAGUUGUUCUGGAUACGCUCUGCUCUCCACCUCGACCACAGGUAUCGUCCCAGAACCCCUGCAGACAGGAGGCGCCUUCGUGCUGGUGUCCUUGCGCAGUGGGCAUCCAGGGGCUGCGACAGCCACCGCCCCUCCACCUGGAGGAGCCCACUUGGACAGAAGUCGGAGGGCGGGCGGGGGAGGGGACGGGGAGGGACAGCGUCCUGGGCGCCUGGAUUCACCCACCGCCGGUCCUGCUCCUUAGCGUCCGGCCAGCACGUUUGCUCUUGAGCAGAGCACAGCUGAGAGCCACACCCUGACCCACAGCAGCUGCGUCCAGCUGUUGUAGCCAGAGGACCAGGUGCCCAGGGCCUGCGGGGGGCGGAGAGCUGGGGUGACCCCGCCUCCCCUCCCCAGGCUGCGUCAGCACCGCCCCAGCCCCCGCUCGGCCCCCCAAGCCCAGCCAGGCCCGCCCCAGGCGCUGGUCCGGGAUGCUGCUCCAGGACGCUGGUCCCACGUGGCAUGGCUCUGGUUUUAAAGACUCUGGCAUUUAAGCUAAUGGAUUUCAGCAAAUACAUCUUUCAGAAUAAGAUGUCCACACUCGCUGCGUUGAGAGACUCUGGGCCAAGCCUGUACGUGGCGGCUGGAGGCAAGCCGCGCUCUCCUUGGGCCUCAGUUCAGCAUCUGGAAAACGGGCUGUUUCUAAACUUCCCUCCAUUCUGGUGAUUCUUGGCUAGUGUGGAAGGUUCCUGGUUUUCCGCUGGCAUUUUUCAAAAGUGGGAUAUUUGAUGUAAUGCAAAAAGUCUAUAGAUCAUGCAUGUACCUCUUAAAGAAGAAUUAUAAAAUAAAUACUCCUGCGGAGUUCCCGUCGUGGCCCGGCGGAAUCGAAUCCGACUAGGAACCAUGAGGUUUCCGAUUCAAUCCCUGGCCUCACUCAGUGGGUUAAGGAUCCGCCACUGCCGUGUGCUGUGGUGUAGGCCGUAGAUGCGGCUUGGAUCUGGCGUUGCUGCGGUGUAGGACGGCAGCUGUAGCUCUGAUUGGACCCCUAGGCUGGGAACCUGCAUAUGCCACGGGUGUGGCCCUAAAAAGCAAAAUAAAUAAAUAAAUAAAUAAAUACCAGUGGGACCAGCACCCAAGUCUGGAAGAAAACCCAGGGGACCCGGAAGCCCUCUGUAGGCUCCUCCCUGGGGCCCCAGCCCCUCCUCCAAAGGCGACCACUAUCCAAUUCGGAUGGUAACACUUCCUCGCAUUCUGUGAGUCUCACGUCUGUCGCCUUAUAAACCCGAGCAGGUUCACUGCGGCUUAGUUUUGACUUCCGUACGGUGCCCUGCAGCCGGGGAAAGACGGACACGAUGGACGGCAACCCAGGACACACGGCAGGCAUCGAGCUCCUCUCUCUCUUUUUAACUGGGGCACGUGACUCUCGCGACCGCCCUCCUUCGGAACCGGGAUGCUUCGGUUCAGCAAGAAGAGCAGUGAUGCUCGUGGGUUUGCCUGUCUUAUUUCUCCAACCACAGGAUUUUCUGUCAUUUUAUUGCGAUGGUCAUUUCACCCGGAUGAUCUUGCUGUGGCCUUUCUUCCUUUCUUUGGCCACGUCCUCAGCCUGAGGACGUUCCUGGGCCAGGGGUCAAACCCGAGCCACAGCAGUGACGAUGCCAGAUCCCUAACCACUGAGCCACCAGGGGACUUUUCUUUCUUUCUUUUUUUUUUGGUAGAUACUUUUCACCAGCUUCCAAAAGUUCCUUUCUGAGUUCCUGUCCUGACUCGGGUAAUGAACCCGACUAGGAUCCAUGAGGAUGCCAGUUCAAUCCCUGGCCUCACUCAGUGGGUUAAGGAUCCGAGUUACCACACGCUUGUGGAGGUCGAAGAUGCGGCUCGGAUCCCGCGUUGCUGUGGCUGUGGUGUAGGCCGGCAGGUGCAGCUCCGAUUUCACCCCUAGCCUGGGAACUUCCAUGUGCCACAGGCAUGGCUCUAAAAAGCAAAAUGUAAAUAAAUAAAUAACAAAAAAAAAUUAAAACCAUUCCCUUCUAUUCCAAACACAUGCAGGAGUGUUUGAAAGACCCACUUUGGGCUGAACUUACCCUGUCUGUUGUGUGUUUCCCCCAUUUCGUCAAAGCUUAGGUCUUUGAAAUUAUGAAUGGAUGUUGAAAUUCGUCCAGUUAUUUUCCUGCCUUUAUUUUCCCACGAACGUUGACUCAAUCACAGACGUGAGUGGCAUCGACCUGUGGUGCUUCUCUCCCUCACUGUGCUUAUCGGGGUUUGUUUUUCUCAGCAAGUUCCCCGGGGGGGGUGACCCUGUCUUCCUGUAUCCGGAAGAGGCUGUGGAAGAUUUAUCUUUUGUUCCUGCACUGUUGGUGGGAGCUGCUGUCUGUGCUCAGACUUUGAUUUGGGAGAAGAUUUUUUCUUUCAUGACGGAUUCACAGUGUUUUUAAGAAUCCACUUUUUUCUGAGUUAAUUUUGCUACAUUUCCAGGAAUUUAUACAUUUCACUUCCAAUUUUCAAAUUUAUUGGCCUAAAAUUUACAUACCUUUCUCUCUCUCUCUCUCUCUUUUUUUAUUUUUUUUCUGUCUUUUCUAGGGCCACAGAUACAUACAAUCAAUCCCACUUUACUAGAAUUUUAUUUUUUUGUCUUUUAGGGCCACACCCAUGGCAUAUGGAGGUUCCCAGGCUAGGGGUCUAAUCGGAGUUUAGAUGCUGGCCUACACCACAGCCACAGCAGCACAGGAUCCGAGCCCCGUCUGCGACCGACAUACACCACAGCUCCCGGCAAUGCCGGAUCCUUAACCCAGUGCGCAAGGGCAGGGAUCGAACCCGCAACCUCAUGGUUCCUAGUCAGAUUCGUUAACCACUGAGCCCCAACGGGAACUCCUCACUCGCUGUCUCUCUUUUUUAUUUUAAAUACCUGAAGCAUUUAAAUAACCGUGUCAGGGCCUUAGGAGUUGCAGGAAUGUUUGAAAGACCCUCUUUUGGCUGAACUCACCCUCUCUGUUGUGUGUUUCCCCCUGUUUCACCGAGUUUAUUGGGGCUUCUUUCCCUUUCCUUUGGGUCUGGUUUGGUUUGUUUUCUUCUAAGUUCCCGAGACAGAUGCUUCGCUCCUUAUUUUUCCACUAUUUUCUCCUGUCAUUUACAGUCAGGCGUAAAAACUCUGAGUGCGGCUUUCGCUGAGUCCCACAGGUUUGUUAUUUAGGAUUUUCGCCAUUUCUCAUUUAAAAUCAUUUUCUAAUUUUUAUCAUGCUUUAUCCUUUGACCAAAGUGUGUUUAUUAAUGUCCAACCCAUGGCUAUAUUCUAGUUCUCUUUUUGUUACUGCUUUCUAGCUGAAUUGCGUCAUGAUUGGAGAAGAUAUGUCCUGUAUGAUUUCAAUUCUUCCAACACUUUUGGAGACUUGCCUAGAAUAUGGUUGAGCUUUAUCCGUCUGUUUAUUUUCAGGGCCGCCCCUGUGGCACAUGGACGUUCCUGGGCCAGGGAUUGAAUCCGGCUUCCGCAGUGACCCAGGCCACUGCAGUCUGAUUCUUAACCGGACCACAGUGGGAACUCGGCGUUGCUAUUUACGGAAGGGCUGCUUUGGCUUGAAAAUGAUGAUAGAGAACAGGCUUCUGUGGGUGUCUAGUAGACCAAGUGUGUUAAUGAGAUUCUUCAAAUCUCUAUGUGCUUACGGUUGAUUUUUUUUGUUCUAGUAAUUAUUGAGGCAGGCGUGUUAAUUUCUUCUACUAUGGUACGGAUUUUUCUAUUUUACUUUAUACUUCUGUCAAGUUUUUUUGUUUGUUUGUUUGUUUGUCUUUUUGCUAUUUCUUGGGCCUCUCCUGUGGCAUAUGGAGGUUCCCAGGCUAGGGGUCCAAUCGGAGCUGUAACCGCUGGCCUACACCAGAGCCAUAGCAACACAGGACCCGAGCCACGCCUGCAACCUACACCAUAGCUCAUGGCAACGCCAGAUCCUUAACCCAGUGAGCAAGGCCAGGGAUCGAACCCGCAACCUCAUGGUUCCUAGUUGGAUUUGUUAACCACUGAGCCAUGACGGGAACUCCUGUCAAGUUUUGACUUAGAUGUUUUAGAGCUAU